CACACACACACACACACACACACACACACACACACUGCCAUUUGCACUUUUAGGAUGCAUGCAUCUAUGUACACGAGUGUUCUGAGCACCCAACAAGGCCUAAGGCAUAUUUCCUGGCUUGCCACAAGCCAGGAGUGCAGUGGUGCUAAUGGAUACACAGAGUUACUUACGUCUUCCGGGCCACAAGAGUGGCUACUUGGAAGUACUUUGGGUCCACUUUGCUCAGCCGCCUCUCCCUAAAGAAUCCACAUAGUCAAAAGAGGGCUAUUGCUCCAGCUGGACGAUGGCAUUGGGCUGAGCCAGGAACGGAUAACGGAAAUAACAGACUUUCGGCAUGCAUUAGGGCAAAGGUCUAAGACCAUCUCAAAGACUAAAAGAAAAUUCCACUGCUCCUUGAUCCUCACCUCCUCUGGAAAGAUCGGCAUAAAGUGGAGGCCAGGAGCCAGGGGUUUGAGCCCAAGUCCAGUGAUGAGCAACACUUUCUGGCACCUUUGCCUGGGAAUAUGAAGCAGCAAAGUCAAGAUCAAAGAAUGGGCCAGCACUGAGACAAACUAAAGGCAGCUUAGUAACUGGCUGGGACAGCUGCAAAACUGAAAGGGGUUCUCAGAGUGUUUAGUUCCAUGUUUUUCUGCGAAUUAAAUAUCUAUUUAUUAUAUUAUAUAUGGGACUACAUUUGAAAAAACGGUGCAAAAUUAUUUGUUUUGGUUUUUCUGAGACAGGGUUUCUCUGUGUAGCCCUGGCUGUCCUGGAACUCUCUGUAGA